CUAGCCUUUUUACAGACUAGAUUUCCACUAACACAGCACCCUGGCUUUCCUCCACCACCCUACUCCAAAGAAGCUAUAAGCAAUUUUCAAGUACCCCUAAAACCACAGCAAACUGAGGAGAGAUGCUCAGUGAGAACAAGGAGAUAUUCCUACUUCCAAGCACCUGCCCACACCAGAGCUGGAGCAUUAGCUGGGUUUUACCUCCUAAACACAAAUAAUGCUUCCUAUUAAAGGAUUUGCUGGACUAGACCAUGAGACUUCCACAUAGCAUUUAAUCCACUGCAGAGCUACCUAUGCCAGCAGCCUCUGAAGUUGGUGAAGAAGUAAAGGUGGCAGGUACAAGGCUUGGUUUUUCGUGGAGGCUGUCCACAAAGGAGCUAAAGAAAGUAGCUUACCUCCUUGCCAGCUUGGCUGCAUCUGCUGCAGCACUUCCGUUGACUAGAAGGGACACGUUAGACACCGCACCAGCCAGGAAACAGUCCACAAUGCCUUGGUUUCUCCGAGGACAAUAGCCGAAGUCAUCUCCAGUUAUUAUUAACUUCACCUGAAGCAUCCUUAGAUGUCAUCCCUGGCAAAAAAAAAAAAAAAAAAAAAAAGUAACAGGAGGUUAAACCGGAACACUCGGCAGCCUGCAGAUCACAGGCAAACAGGAAAAGACAGGCUUACCGCGGGCGAACCCAGCCGUGACUCAGCCCCUGACUAAGCCCUCCUGCUCCAGCUGAGCCCGCCGCAGUCUCGCGGCUCGCACGGGGCAGGAUGUGCGUGUGGCCGGCGGGCUCACACCGUCCCUGCCCGCUCCUCCCUGCCAGCCCCAGCCGUGCCCUCCCCCGCGGGGCCAAACCCCGGCGUGCACCGUGCAACGCUGGCGCUGAGCAGCGUGCGGAAGCUCGGGGACUGCCCGGGAUGAUUCGAUCGAUGCAGGGAGGCGGGGAUCAUACUGGGACUGGACUCUUCCAUGGAUAAUGGUGAUCUCCACCUCUGAACCUGUGCCAGCAUGGGGGUAAGUGCAGAAACAGCUGACAAGCCAAGCACUGGCUUCCUGGAAGAGCAGCUGGAGUGAAAUGGGUUGGAAAAGGCUUUAAGGAUCGUUUCUGUGGGAAUGGGCUGACAAUCCUGCUGCUUAAUUUAUGUAUAAAGAAACCAAAGCCUCCAGGUGUCUCCUUUUUCAGCAGAGUUCAAUUCCUAAAGACAGCAAGCGAGCCCCUGCCCCAAAGUCAAGGACAUGACUUGUAGGCACAGCCCGAGACUGACCAUCUUCAGCAAAGCAAGGACCAUCAGUUUGGAGACAGAAGCACACUUCAGCAGAGGAAAUCGCACCCUUUUCACACCUGAAGUUUGAAACAUCUGUCUGGGGGCAUGAACACCUGUAGGAGUAGUGGUUUUCCAGGUCUGUCACCUAACAAGGAAUUUGGAAUCACUGAGUUGAGGUAGGUUGCAGCCCUGUUGAUCUUUAGGCUCUCAUCAAUUGCAGUCCAUGUAGCAAACUGCUACCAAACUUUGUUUCCAUUAGCCUGAGGGCACUUUGAGGGGCAGCUAAGUUUUGGACAAUAAUUUGUAAGUUUAUUUUGCUACUUUGAAGGAGAAAAAUAAAAUCAGAAUAGGUGGUAGCAAUAUUAUUCAUGGUAGAAUUUGGUUCCUACAGGCCCCAAAAUGGGGCAGCACUGGGAGCACAGGAGACUUCUGCUGCAUCAAGAGGGGACAUCAGCUGUUGUCACUUAUUCUUUCUUGCUCUUCCCUGCUCAUGUAAAUGAGCAAUGACUACUGGAAAUGAUGGUGAGAGCUGGAAGACAGCCUUCUGCCUCUUCAGUGACAUUUUCUCUUAGAAAAGAAUUAUAUGAAACGAAAUUCAAAUCAGAUCAUGCUAAAAUGCUGUAGACAACUUGCUAAAUCUUCAUUCAGGCAAUUCCUGUGAGCUUUUCUGUCACUUGAUAGUUGUAUGGCUCUGUUACAGACAAGUUUUUGAUGUUCUGUAAAGGUUUUCAGUGCCCUUGGCAUUUCAGAGAGGAUAUCUGUGCACCUGCUCCUUGCUUCCCCUUCUGGGAGAUGAACGUCACAGCCUGCCCACGUUCCCCAAGAGGCUUCACUUACUGAUGAGUGCUGUUACUGCAACAGCUGAAGUCAGCACAAUUCUGAAGUAAUGGCAUGAAUCAUAAAAUAAGCACCUCCUCUCUUUGCCAAUGCAAACUCUGGGGUUUUCUGCCUUUUUCUAGAACUGCCAGUGCUCCCUGACUCUGCACAAGUGAGAGGCACAACAUAAGAAUCUUAGACAAAGCUUGGCUUCUCAGCCUUCUUAACCUUAGUAUGCAUUUAAUGCUAUUAACAGUAACAUCCUUCUUAAAUAUUUAAUGCACUUCCUGGAGGCUUUUCUUUUCUGAUUUCAUAUGUUUAUCCAGCUCUCCUUCCUGCCACUGGAAGCAAAUAUUCCCCAGCAAGCAAACCUUGCCCCUGUGGCACAUGCCCUUAGCAGCAGUGCUCCCUCUGCAGCCUGCACUCACAGCUGGCUGCCAGGGUAGCCCUUGCAGCUGACCCCCACAGAGCCCAGAGCUGAAAAGCCCUUAAAAUUCAACCUGGAGCUCAAAGGCAAGGCAGACUUCCUCUGGACAGCCUCUUCUCUGCAGUGAAGACAGGCACAUUGGCCAGGAUUCCUGGUGGAGCUGCAUAAGCCAGGACAAGCACUAAGGAGAGGCUGCAUCUUCCAGCUUAGCUAAAAACACAGCCCUACCUCAGCUUAGCUGCAAAAGCCAGCAGGAGCCCUCACCAUCCUCAAGUGCUUCACUGCUUUUGAGCUUGAAUUUUUUUUGCCUGAACUUUGAGUUAAUCAGUAGAAAUGCUGAGGCUUCCUGUAUUUCACAAAAGUGUUUUCUAACAAUUACUGCUUCCAACAAGGCAUCUGUUUACACAUUGACAUAAAAAAAGUGUUUUCUUUUUCUUGUUCCCUUGGCUGCAGUUAGUUAGCUCAUUUGGGAUUACAAUGGUAGCACAGUAGGACUUUGUCUUUUCCUUGCAUGAAAUUUUGUUGAAAGUGUGAACUCUAAAAGGCAUUGAAAUGAAAGAAAGUAAAAUCCAUUUUUUAAAUUAAACGACGUAAA